rnacentral:sRNA from 1 species
CCAAUAAAUGUGGUGACGCAGGUGAGCGU